UGGAUGCAUCGUAUACAGACUGAGCUGCCAUGAUAGACAGUCGCCCCUGGAAAGAGAGCAAUAGUCUGCUACAGGAAACCUCACAUCAGCCAUAGAGAUGUCCACGAUGUGCUUGGCCAGAUCCUCGUAGGAGGAGGAGAAGGAGGUCCCCAGGCUGGACAGGCUGGACGGAGAACAGCAGCAACUGCCCAGGGAGGCUCUGCGGCCUACAACGAAUAGGUGGAGGCUCUUGAGACGGUAUGAGCAUCAGGGUCUCAGGGCAGCAACAGCCUCCUGAUGGACAGUGACUCCCUUGGAUCUAGCAGAUCUCAGCCCCAAAGUCCCCACAUCAGAGCGGCCCCGCACAUCUGCUAUCCAGGAGUCUCUGGAAUCAGGCAAGUUUGUGUCCCCCUGCAGAAGAGAAGAUGCUCAGGACCAGAGCAGAGGGAGGGAGAGAGCAGGGCGCCAGGAACCCAGUGCAGAAUUAUCUCCUCUGCCUCUGAACUGCACCAAGAGCUUUCAACAUAAAGGCUCAAGUGAAAAGGUCUUCCCUGCCUGAUGCCCCGGAGAAGUCAACAACAAUGGAAACCAGUCCCUGGAGUUUCCUUGCCCUUCAAGCUACACACUCAAGGUUGCUUGUAGGAGAGUUCCAACAGGGAUCAGAAUGAACUGGGGCCUGAGAGGAUGGGGUGCCAGGGGUCAGUUGGUGGGGGGCCCUCUGCACCACUGCAACAACAGGAAAGAGGCCAUGGCUGGAGCUGUGUUUAGGGUGGGCAGCAAAGCCCAGCUGGCAGGUGGGAAUGGGGAUCAAAAGUGACAGGCUGUGAAAAGCUUGACCCUUGGCCCCAGCUUAAGGUACAGCAGCUAAGCCAAAGGUUCUAGUUUGGAACCAGAUGGAGAUGAUCCUUUGGAUCUGCCAUACAGUCACCCCACCUUUACUGCAAGCAGCUCCUCAAUGACAUGACCCUUGACCUCUGCUGGAUCUAACAGGCACCCACUAUCCUACCUCUAUCAUCAGUUCCUAACCUAGUGCUACUUAUGAAAAAAGAAGUGAACAAAGAUAUUCUGUCUCCAUCCUUACCUCCUUUUUUCCUGCUGCAGCAUCCAGGUGGUUUUUCCUACUUCAGGCAGAUUGAGAUUUUGUGCUACUUUCUUAAGAACCUUUCACUACUGAUCAUCUCUUUCUACACUUAUUGCCUCCACCUCUCCCUCUUCACUAGAUUCUUCAUAUCAGCAUUUAAGCAUGUAAAAAUUUCUCUCAACUUUAAAAACCUUCCUCAACAGGCAUCUUUUCUCUCCUGUCCUUCACAGAUAAACUUGAAACGACUGUCACCAUUUGCCAUCUUCCCACCUCUUAUACCCUUCUGAACCCACUUGAGUCUAGCCUUUGCUAGAUCCAUGUGCUUGGAUCUGGUGAACAGGUCUCAGUUCUCAUCUUGCUGAGCACCUCCCUUUCACUUGAGAUACUUGCUUCCUGAAUUCCCGGGAUCUUGGCUUCCUAUCUCUCUGGGUGCUCCUUCCUACUUUCCUUUGUUGGCUCAU